UUCGAAGCUUAAGUGCUUCACGUAAAACUCACAAAUCCUAUGAACCCUUCAAACCCUUUCAACCGUCUCCUUCACUGUCGCUCGCAACCCAGUAAUCAAAUCCCAAUACUCAAACCCUUCUGACCCAAAACUCAACCCCUUCAAUUUCUUCACCGUCGCAACCUAGUACUCAAACCCUUCAAUUCCCAUAACUUAAACCCUUCAAUUUCUUCACAAUCGUAACGAUCUUCUUCUUCGCCGAAACAAUCUUCUUCUUCACUGCAAAUAAUCAUCUUCUUUUCUAUUUGAUUGCAAACUUGAAGGCUACUCGUUCAUAUAUUUUCAGUGUACUUGCGGCUAAUGCAUCAAUGGAAAAAUAGGGGGAAAUGAUUUGAAACUGAAGCGAACGAAACUGAAUGACGGCUACAAGGUAGCUUGUAUCAUGCAAUAGUGACUUCAUAAGCUUUGUUGUUGUGUGUUGGCUUGUUUGCCUCCUGAUUUUGAAUCAUCACCUUCUAAUGCUAGUCACUCUUCUACUUCUUCUUCAACUAAGCUAUAUUGCAAUGGCCUUUUUCCCCACUUUCUAAGGAGACAACCAAAUCUGUUAAGUUUUCUUCAACUAGUUUUCAUUUGAAGGUAUCUAAAAUGUGGUUCUUUACCUUGUCCGGAUAAAAUAUGCUAUCUGAUAAGCCUUACCACAAUUAAAUUCUAGGUACUAUUGUACUUAUUUCUGCAACUACAAUUAUAAUAUUCAAUGGAAGUGCUCAAUCUAACAGCGCUCGACUAGAUUAGAUAUGUGAAGCCGAAUAGUCAAUUAAAACUUGGGAUAUUUGAGAAAAUGAGCUUCAUGCAUCAGUUAUGUUAUAGUGUAAGUGGGUUUUGAAAUGAAUUUCUUGCAUGAGUGCUCACAAGGUGGACCACAGGGUUUUCCAUUGUCUCUUUGCAUUCUUUACUAGCUAACUAGCCAAUACCUACAUUUCUUUCAAUUAAAUAUUAAUUUUGUUUGGUCAAAUCUUAAUUUUAUAUGUCUAUAUGCAUUGAAAUUGUUUCAGUGUUGGAGUUCCUUGCUUGGGUUCAUAUGCUUCAAAGGCUUCCUAUAUCAUCUUUGAAGAAUUUAUCUCAACUUUUGAUUGUUAAAAACUAUGAGAAAGGAGAGUUUGUUGUUCGUGAGGGAGAGCCCAGAGACGGUCUUUACAUCAUUUGGAAAGGAGAUGUAUGCUCAUUUUCAAAUGCAAUUCACCAUGCUGAUAUCGUAGCUUUGACUAAGGUUCUCCUUUUUUCGUUUAUUUACUACUGCCUUCCAAAUCAACAUGAUAUAAUUGUAAAUAAAAUGGUAAGUAAGUUAUCCUUUGCUCAUAGGGAAAUAGUUAUUUGCAUUUGGUUAUUUCUUGUCCAUUAUUUUUGUGAAUCUGGGACUGCAACAAAUAUAAUUUUCAGAGGUUCUUGAAACCAUUAAACUCUAAAUAGUAUGGCUAAAUUAUUUAGUAAUGCAGCAUGGUGAAAUGUGAUAGUUUGGUUUGCAGCAUGGUGAAAUUUGAUAGUUUAAUUUGGUAUGACAUUAUUUUUAUUUUUAUAGUUUUAUAUUAAAAUUUGGGUGAGAUAUGGAACAUAAUAUGAUGAUGAGCACAUAUAGGUGCAGGCAAAAUAAAAAGUGUUAAAAUUAUUAAAAAAAAAACAACUUGUUAGGUCGGUUAAUAAUAUAUCCGACUUAAGAAACAAUCUUUUUAAGUCAGGUCCAAACCCGACUUAAGAAGUCAAAACUUGUUAUGUCAGCAGUUGUUAGGACGGGAACGGAACCGACUUAACAAGUCAUUUUUAACCGACUUAAAAAGCAUUUUUUGUACUAGUGGCUUCAUAAUAAAGGAGAUGAUCUGUGGUGUGAGGUUUUAAAUGAUAAAUUUUGAUUUACCGACAUUAUAAAUUUUAAUCGUAGAAGUUGUGACUAAAGCUUUGGCGUGACAUAGUCUGAUUGGAGAGUCAUGUUAAGGACAUGGAGAGCUGGUGUAUUGGUGAUAGUUCGUCCACUGAUGUGUGGCUGGAUUACUAGAUAGAUAAAUGGAUUACUAUUUGGGGUCUUGAUAUGGUCAUUCCGCGAUAUGGAGCAUGUGAAAGUGAGAGACAUUAAGAAUCAUGUUGGUGAUUGGAAGUGGCAACUCUUGGAAGAUUGGCUCCUAGAGGAUAUUUUGCUAAAAUUCAGAGCUAUACCGCCCCCAUACCUGAGUUUGGUGAAGAUGAGUUUCUGUUUGUAGGAUUUACCAAAGAAUAUUAUUCUGUUAAACACAGUUAUACGAGUCAAUGGAGGAAAAUUUGGAAGCUCAGAGUCAGUGAAAAAGUCUGUUGCUUUAUUUGGAUGCUUUGUCAUGACUGAAUUUUAACCAAUAUCAACAUAAGUUUGAAAGGCCUUGGUGGAGCCGAUUGUAAGGUUUGUGAUGUGUUAUGGAAUUUACUUUGCAUGUCGUAAGGGAAUGCCCCCAAAACGAGGAAUUUGUGAAUGAAUAAGGUACCUGAUAGAAUUAAAAUAGAAUUCUUUUCGAUGAAUAUUAUUGACUGGAUUGCUCUUAAUCUAGGUAUGAACAGUAAAUGAACGAGUUUUUGGGUGAUAGAUUGUCAUAUUUUAUGGUUUUGGAGGGAUUUGGAAUGCAUGAGGAUAGUUAUAAUAAACCUACUUGCCUUGAAGUGUAUGUUCAAGCUAGAGCAAAUGAGUAUGAUAAAGCUCUAGAUAAUAAUGAGAUAGUUGUCAUUAAGGAGAAAGUUAUGAUUUUGGUAUGUUGGAAGCCCCUUGAACAUGGUUGGGUUAAAAUCAACACAGAUCGUGCUUCUAUAGCUGGUAAAGUUGCAAGCUACAAAGGUAUAAUUAGAGGUAUGCAUGAAGAUUGCUUGGGUGGGUUCUCCAAAUAUCUAGGUAUUUGCAGUGCAGUCAAAGAUGAACUUUGGGAUAUCCUUGAAGGGUUAAUUCAUGGCAAGAAUUCCGGUUUCGCUAUGGUACUAGAGUUGAAUGUGGACUCGCCUCUAGCCAUCCACAUGAUUAAUUUUGGUAGAGUAACAGAUAUGGAGAAUGUCUCUCUAGUGAAUUAGAUCAUGAGGAUGCUAGGUGAAGGUUUCUUAUACGUAUAGAGAAUCCAACUAUUGUGCAAAUGCAUUAGCUAAAAUGGGAGCAACAAAUGGGGAUGAUUUAUUCUUUGGAGAAUAUAUCCCUUUUGUUAUUAGACAUUUAGUGACUUCUGAUGUGAUAGGAACCUCUGUUCCUCGAACCGUUUUGUUGUAGUUUUUUCUCUCUAAGCUUAGGACCUCCAUUUUACCAAAAACAGUUCAUUACUCCCACAUUAAAAAAAGGAAUAUAAUAUAAUCAAGGUUUAGUUACACCAAUGGUCCUUUACAUCAUUUUAUUGUAAUAGGUUGGUCCUAUAUAUUUUUUUUCCAACAAACCACUCCUUUUAAGUUAUUCAACGUCUACACAGUUAUCUUUUUAAAAAAAAAAAUGACCCAUAAAUGCAUAUGUGACAUUAACGUUAAUGACAUGUCUUUAAUGUUGCUGACAUGGACUUUUUUUAAUUACCUUUAAAUGAUUACCCAAAAACCCUUUCUCUCAUUCUUCUUCCCGCACACUCCACAACAGCAUGGAUUUUUCUCUCCUUCUUCUUCCUAUGCACACAACAACAACAUGGAUUUAUAUGUGAUAACAAAAACACCACCAUCUAAAUCCAAUCCUUCCCCUUUUCUCCUCUUCCCCUAGAGAAGAUGUUGCCAGAGAUUGGAAAAAGAUCUUUAAGAUUGCAACUAAGAAAACAAAAGUCCAAAGACCAAGCUUCAGUGGAGAAGUGUUCCACCGCACACGAUUGAAGUAAUAAGCUUUCUCCAUCUUGAACUUUCUUAGCAUCGACGGAGCACUGUUGUCGGUGUGCAAUAUUUGCUUCAACUAAGAAUUUUUUUCAUUAAAGUAUCAGAUUUUGAAAGAAAUCUCAAAAGAUAGAGAAAAAAAAUUUAGAUUUUGAAAUGAAUCCGAGAUUUCUCUUACUUGAUUCCUUCCAAUCUCGAUGCCGAUUGAAACUUCUAGAUUUGUUCUUUGGUUUCCCCCAAAUGUGUAUUUCUCAAAAAUUUCAUAUUAGGGUUUCAUUUUAAGAAAAUUCUAUGAUGUUGUGUUUGUAUAAGAGAACAAGGGAAGAGAGAAAAGCAACACCACCAUCUAAACCAUCUAAAAUUUUAUGGUGUUAUAUUUGCAACCAUCUUUCACUUCGUUUUCUGCAAAUAUAUCAAACAUCUUCAAGUGUCCACAAUCAUAAAUGUUGUCAUAGAAAAUACACUCAAGUUGAUAAGGAGUUCU